rnacentral:rRNA from 1 species
GACAGAGGGUGCAAACGUUGUUCGGAUUUACUGGGCGUAAAGCGCGUGUAGGCGGCUUUGCAAGUCGGAUGUGAAAUCCCACGGCUCAACCGUGGAAGUGCAUCCGAAACUGCAUCGCUGGAGUCUCGGAGAGGAAGGUGGAAUGCUUGGUGUAGAGGUGAAAUUCGUAGAUAUUGCGUAGAACACCAGUGGCGAAGGCGGCCACCUGGGAAGCGACUGACGCUAAGACGCGAAAGCGUGGGGAUCAAACAGG